rnacentral:lncRNA from 1 species
UGCAUCCCUGAUUUUGGAUUGCAUGAAAAUUCCCAAUGUGCUUUGCUUAAGCUCACAGAGUCAGCUUCUAUCACUGCACUGCAGCCUGGGUGAUAAGAGUGGGGCCGUCUCAAAAACAAUAAAACAAAACAAACAAAAAACUUGAACUAAAUGCACAAGUAAUGUUUGUUUAAAUAGGAAUUUCCAGACAUCACUUCUCACUCUGCUUUUCUUUAAACAUAACUUUUAAAUUUAAUUAAUCAUAGAAACGUGGUCUUGCUAUGAUGCCCAGGCUUGACUUGAACUCCUGAGCUAAAGGGGUCCUCCUGCCUCAGCCUCCUGAGUAGCUGGGACUAUAGGCACAUGCCACUGUGCUGAGUUUUACAUUUUAACAUGUAAUGUACCUAUUUUUUUAUUUUAUGGUUAUUGUUUUCUAUGGCUCAUCUAAGAAAUUUUUGUCUAUCUACAACUUACCUUAUGUUUCCCUAUAAAAGCUUCAUACUUGGAUCUAUAAUCGAUUGCAAAUGAAUUUUGCAUAUGGUAUGAUAUGGAUAAAUGUUGUUGUGGUUUCCCAAGUGGAUAUCUAUUUAUUCCAGCAUUAUUUGUUGAAAACACUUCUUGCUGCACAGUGGAUUACUUUGGUGAAGGUAAGAGUGGGGCGAGGGUAUGGAAAAGCCAUCUGAAACUAAACUAAUGACUUAAUACUAAAAUGAAGAGGUAGAGGUAGACAUUUUAUUUUUAUUAAUUGUAUUAAUGAGCUUAAGGAAAUGGUAGCAGCUUCUUCACUCAAUAAAAAUGGGGGUUAUUCAUUCACCAGAAUUUGCUUCCAUGAACUCACAUGUAAUACACCUAAGACCUACCUGGUAACUAAGUCAACUCAUUUUUUUGUUCCAUACUGUUGCCUGCUUACCCCUUUUCAUUAUCUGUAUAGUGUGUAUCCAUUUAUGUUUCAAACAUUAAUGGGAACGAGGCGUGCUGGGAUCCAGGCUGGGGCUGUAUUCGUUAGGUGAAUACAUUUGUCCAAGAUUAUUAAAUAAACACAAACUGAUAACCAAAUCAAGGGAAGAUUCAAUUGAUGGUCCUGCUUGUUUCUUUGUCCCAUUUUGUUUUGUACUAGGGUUUUGUCUUUUCAAUUGCAUCAACCAACUUCCAGAUUAUCUCAUGAAGAUCCUAGAGUAGUAAUAUUAUUGUAUGUCUGAGAUGACUUCAAAGUGUCACCUCAAACAUACAAUAAUGAUUUUGACUGAUUCUCAAAAUCCACUGAUUCCCAUAGCAUAAGUCACAGAUCACUUGCACAUACAUUACCUUCAUAGCUGAUAUGGUUUUGCUCUGUGUCCCCACCCAAAUCUCAUGUCAAAUUGUAAUCCCCACGAGUUGAAGGUGGGACAUGGUGGGAGGUGAC